UUAUGAAAGGCUAAAACCAUGGGUAUCCAACCAGUCCUCACGCAUAGAAGAAUAGCAAUUGCCCGGGAAGACAAGUUGUGCAUUUGGAGAUGCACGAGGGAAGCA